rnacentral:rRNA from 1 species
GAACGGGUGAGUAAUAUAUCGGAACGUGCCCUAGAGUGGGGGAUAACGUAGCGAAAGUUACGCUAAUACCGCAUACGAUCUAAGGAUGAAAGUGGGGGAUCGCAAGACCUCAUGCUCGUGGAGCGGCCGAUAUCUGAUUAGCUAGUUGGUGGGGUAAAAGCUCACCAAGGCGACGAUCAGUAGCUGGUCUGAGAGGACGACCAGCCACACUGGAACUGAGACACGGUCCAGACUCCUACGGGAGGCAGCAGUGGGGAAUUUUGGACAAUGGGGGCAACCCUGAUCCAGCAAUGCCGCGUGAGUGAAGAAGGCCUUCGGGUUGUAAAGCUCUUUUGUCAGGGAAGAAACGGUGUUUUCUAAUAAAGAGCACUAAUGACGGUACCUGAAGAAUAAGCACCGGCUAACUACGUGCCAGCAGCCGCGGUAAUACGUAGGGUGCAAGCGUUAAUCGGAAUUACUGGGCGUAAAGCGUGCGCAGGCGGUUAUGUAAGUCAGCUGUGAAAUCCCCGGGCUUAACCUGGGAAUGGCAGUUGAGACUGCAUGGCUAGAGUGUGUCAGAGGGGGGUAGAAUUCCACGUGUAGCAGGUGAAAUGCGUAGAGAUGUGGAGGAAUACCGAUGG